rnacentral:ncRNA from 1 species
UAUCUUUGCAGCGCUUUAAUUAGCCAAUACAUAACAAUCAUUGAAAUAAUAUUAGCAUG